rnacentral:rRNA from 1 species
UGCCAGCCGCCGCGGUAAUACGGAGGGUGCAAGCGUUAAUCGGAAUUAUUGGGCGUAAAGAGUACGUAGGCGGCUUUUCAAGUCGGAUGUGAAAGCCCUGAGCUUAACUCAGGAAUUGCAUUCGAUACUGGAUCGCUAGAGUUUAUUAGAGGAUAGUGGAAUUUCAAGUGUAGCGGUGAAAUGCGUAGAUAUUUGAAGGAACACCAAUGGCGAAGGCAGUUAUCUGGAGUAAUACUGACGCUGAGGUACGAAAGCGUGGGGAGCAAACAGGAUUAGAUA